GAUGAACGCUAGCGACAGGCUUAACACAUGCAAGUCGAGGGGCAGCGAGGGCGUAGCAAUACGCCUGUCGGCGACCGGCGCACUGGUGAGUAACACGUAUGCGACCUGCCCCCUACAGGGGUAUAACCCGUAGAAAUGCGGACUAAUCCCCCAUAGUCCUGGGUGCUGCAUGGCAUUCAGGGGAAAGGUCAGCCGGUAGGGGAUGGGCAUGCGGCGCAUUAGCUAGUUGGCGGGGCAACGGCCCACCAAGGCGACGAUGCGUAGGGGUUCUGAGAGGAAGGUCCCCCACACUGGUACUGAGACACGGACCAGACUCCUACGGGAGGCAGCAGUGAGGAAUAUUGGUCAAUGGGCGCAGGCCUGAACCAGCCAAGUCGCGUGAGGGAGGACGGUCCUACGGAUUGUAAACCUCUUUUGUCGGGGAGUAACGUGCGGGACGCGUCCCGUAUUGAGAGUACCCGAAGAAAAAGCAAUCGGCUAACUCCGUG
rnacentral:rRNA from 1 species